UGUCGCCGCGUUUGGUCCUCCAAGGGAGGGUUUUCACCGGGUCGGUGAGCCAGCUGUCUCUGUCACAGUCCGAGAGCCGGGAGAACACACACACACACACACACACACACACACACACACACACCAUGCGCACACUGGGUACGCACAGCUCACGCACGCACACCGCACACACGCAUUGAUUGCGCACGCGCUCUCCUUUCAUUCAUUCACUGCACACCUAGAAAACUGAGCAAUUCCGACACUUUCCAGAAUGUUUUUACGCAGGAACGUUAGGCUCACUGAAGCAGCGGUGAGACAACUGGACAGCAGCUGCAGUCCACGACCCAGGAGCACAAAAAGAACAAGUUUGAAAUACCAGGUGCAUCCCAGAGAAGCACCACGGGGAUGGAUAUGUUACAGCCCACGACAUGAGCGCAGCUAUAAAGAUAUCAUUUGGAUUGUUGGUCGCCCGGCAGGCUGCUCUCCGGCGGCCAGAGCCUGCCCUCCCUGGGGGUCCCCCGAGCCAGAACCCCCCUCAGCCAAACCCAAGCACCUGUUGGCCAGACCUCGCACCCCGUCGUGGGAAUCCCCUCAUUUUAAUCAUUGCAGAUAAGUGAAAAUAUAGCGGCACUGUUUUUCCUGCGGGUCAUUUCCCCUUUGCCCGGGGGGAGAUUUACCGGAGACUUUCCUCCAAUGUGUGUUCCGUCCUCACAGCUGGCACUACAGACCCGUUAAUGAAAACGAGAUCAGCUCAUGGAUUUAUGGACUCACACUCGCGAUAAUCCCGAUAUGAGCAGAUUUAGAGCCGAUGAGAACCCCGAUGAGCGUCGUUCACAGUGACGGACAGACGCUCAGUACGCACCGCGGAUUAGUGAGCAGCAGGAGGGAUGCAGGAGGAAUGCUGGAGGAAUGCACGUGGGAUGUUGGAGGCAUGAAGGAAGGAUGCACAAACAUUUAUGUUUUCAAAUGUAAUCAAUCGUUAUAGUCAUUUACUUCUUAAAUAAUUUCGAUCUCAGCCGUUUGUUCAUAUAUAGAGUACAGCUUGUGUCAUUUUAGGACGAAUCACUAUUGAACACAUGAGAGUCGAGAACUCUGAAACCAGUUUUAGUCAACAGAAAAUGUGAAAGUUUUUUAAAUAUAGAUAUGCCUAUAUUUUUGCAGUGAAGCUGUUUUGUUUAAUACAAUCACGUGUUUCUCCACUGAAGCGUUCCAGAAUCACCCCCGUCUCAACAUACUCCAUCACCACAAAGACUAUGAUAGUCGAAUACAUAAUUUUGAAAAAACAAAACUCAAACCAGUUUCACUUAAAUAUAUGUCCAUGGCGGAAUCUGGAAUUUUUCUAGCUGCAUUUUAUUGCAUCUACAUCCAGGUGCAACGCUUGUGAUGUAUUAAUUUUGUAUUUGACGACGCACUUGCUGAGCACUGUAGACCACCAGUCGUGCCACUUUAAUGGCUUUCUACGCGUUGCUGAAUUUAACUGAACCCCUAAAACCAUUUUUCUUUGUAUUCAUUUUUUUUCCUCAAGGAUGCCGGCCAGUAAAAUGUACUUAAUCUGACGAAAUUCAGUAGAUGUGUUCGAUGCGGCUGUUUGUGCUCCUGGACCAGUGCACGGU
ensembl:lncRNA